AAGAAACAAGAUUGGUAACUGCGUUUUAAUAAAGUGUAAAUCCUCUUAGGGACUCUUCAAAUAGGCCUGGCUCUUUAAAGCCUCCUAAAUUAGUUCAUGUGACUGAAUUUGCUGAAGGCAAUGCAGAACAAAUUAAAA